rnacentral:lncRNA from 1 species
AGAUUUUUUCGUGUGUCAAUAUGCCUGGUAAAUUAGAUAAUAAUAAUGUACAUUGGCGAAGUAAUAGUUAGUUGAUGGAAUCCAUAUCUUAGUUUAGAGAUUGAUGAUACACCUUUAUGAAAUAUGUUAAUAGAAAGUCUAAAGGAAAUAAUCAAUAAAUUAAAUCCUCAGUAAUUUAAUUUAAUUGAUUCGUAUCUGAGUCUUAACAUG